rnacentral:lncRNA from 1 species
CUGCCUGUCUGUCCUUUUAUAUGGCACCUCCCAACAUAGUGUCUGAGUGCAAAGUUCUUCACCCUCAUCUGAUUUAAAACUUUAAAUGGACGCUGUGAAGACCUAUCGUCCAUAGUAAACUGCUCAAGAUGAAUCAGCUGUUCAGAUUAUCCUCACAGAAAUGAUAAUGGGGUUCUGUGUUCACAGCUGAGUUAUUUAAACUGUCUGAUUUGGUCCACAGCUUCCUUGGACAUUAAUAGGUUGACUGCUAUGUCGCUGAACUUAGUGCAUGAAAGGUCAGCCUUUGAAACGCUAAAUAAGUUGAAGAGGAUGUAGAAAAUAUAUCACAUAUGGGAAAGUGUGCAUCCUACAGUGGCAUUUGUGUUAAAGGGCCACUUUGUGGGAGAAUACAGGCUACAGACCCCGCCACAGGAGUGCCAGUCUGUGAUGAUUAAAUUACAGCUACUGGUCAAGAAGGAGAAAUGAAAUCAAGGAAAAUGGAUCUGGGGGACCUAUAACAC